rnacentral:tRNA from 1 species
GCGUUUUUAGUUUAAUGGAUAAAACAUCAAUCUUCUAAAUUGAUUACUGAAGGUUCGAAUCCUUUAAAACGCG